AUUGAACGCCGGCGGCAUGCCUUACACAUGCAAGUCGAACGGCAGCACGGGAGCAAUCCUGGUGGCGAGUGGCGAACGGGUGAGUAAUAUAUCGGAACGUGCCCAGUCGUGGGGAUAACGUAGCGAAAGCUACGCUAAUACCGCAUACGAUCUAUGGAUGAAAGCGGGGGAUCGCAAGACCUCGCGCGAUUGGAGCGGCCGAUAUCAGAUUAGGUAGUUGGUGAGGUAAAGGCUCACCAAGCCGACGAUCUGUAGCUGGUCUGAGAGGACGACCAGCCACACUGGGACUGAGACACGGCCCAGACUCCUACGGGAGGCAGCAGUGGGGAAUUUUUGGACAAUGGGCGCAAGCCUGAUCCAGCAAUGCCGCGUGCAGGAUGAAGGCCUCGGGUUGUAAACUGCUUUUGUACGGUAACGAAACGGU
rnacentral:rRNA from 1 species